rnacentral:rRNA from 1 species
GAUGAACGCUGGCGGCGUGCCUAAUACAUGCAAGUCGAGCGGACGGACGAGGCUCUUGCUUCUCUGCUGUUAGCGGCGGACGGGUGAGUCACACGUGUAUAACCUACCUAUAUGACUUAGAUAACUUCGCGAACCCGGAUCUCAUACCGGAUAAGAUUUUGAACCGCGUUGUUCUACAGUGAACGACGGUCUUGCUGUCACUUAUAGAUGUAUCCGCGCUGCAUUAGCUAGUUGGUAAGGUCACGGCUUACCAAGGCAACGAUGCGUAGCCGACCUGAGAGGGUGAUUGGCCACAUUGGAACUGAGACACGGUCCAGACUCCUACGGGAGGCAGCAGUAGGGAAUAUUCGGCAAUGGGCGAAAGCCUGACGGAGCAAUGCCGCGUGAGUGAUGAAGGUCUUCGGAUCGUAAAACACUGUUAUUAGGGAAGAACAGAUGUGUGAGUAACCGUGGCCGUCUUGACGGUACCUAAUCAGAAAGCCACGGCUAACUACGUG